AGAGUUUGAUCCUGGCUCAGGAUGAACGCUAGCUACAGGCUUAACACAUGCAAGUCGAGGGGCAGCAUGUUGGUUGCUUGCAACCAAUGAUGGCGACCGGCGCACGGGUGAGUAACGCGUAUCCAACCUACCCUUGUCCAUCGGAUAACCCGUCGAAAGGCGGCCUAACACGAUAUGCGGUUCUCAGCAGGCAUCUAACGAGAACGAAAUGUGAAGGAGAAGGAUGGGGAUGCGUCUGAUUAGCUUGUUGGCGGGGUAACGGCCCACCAAGGCGACGAUCAGUAGGGGUUCUGAGAGGAAGGUCCCCCANAUUGGAACUGAGACACGGUCCAAACUCCGACGGAGGCA
rnacentral:rRNA from 1 species